rnacentral:lncRNA from 1 species
AGUGAGGUUGGGAGGAAACUCAAGUCUCGGAUCUCAUCUCCUGUUCUGAUCCCUCUAAAGUCUUUUCCUGCCACAUCCAAUCUGACUGAGGAGUCUUAUAAACUACAGAUGCAUUCAUGGAGCAUUUGCUAUGGGGCAGGAAAAGGGAAAUGAUCCCUCCCCAUGGAAUGAUCUCUGGGAGGGAAGGUGGAAGGGAGGCUGGGUUACACAACAGGGAAAAAUCUUGCUGUCAGUACGUUCUUAUUGGGAGUUAUUUUGGUUUCUGGUUUUCAAACUGCUGUGCAAAGUUAGCUACUGACAGUCUGGAUUGCUGUUUGUUGAUGCAAGGGGAUCAUAAGCCCAACCAAGGUUUCUCCAAACCAGCUCCUUGGGAUUGUUUAACAGAAAAAUAAAGAAAAAAUGCCAUUGAUAUCUUCUCUCUCCAAAGCUUUGGGUGUCUCUCCAGUUAUCAUUUUGGAAAUGAUUCUGAUCCAGUAUUUCAUAAGAAAAAUCUAAAUGAAGCAUGUGAAAAUAAUUUUUUUGUGGGCCACAGGAGAGAUGGCAUUAGAUGCUACAGAUGGAAAUGCUGGCUCAAAGGAACUGAGUUUUAGAAUGAACAGGACCCUUUUUGACCGUUGUAGACACAGGAUCUCCCCACAGGUCAGAAUGGGGAAAAGACAGUUCAUCCUCUUAAUUGGCAUGUAAAGAGGGCAUCAGGAUGCUUAAAGAAUGACUCUACAAAUCCCAGGAUUCUAAGCCUUAAAAAUCUAGGAGAUGUCUUUGGUUGAGAAUUUGGUUAGCUUUGGAAAGAUGUAGUGGGAGAGUUUUAACUCAGCAUGAAGACUCAGUACAUGAAGGCUGAUUAAAUGAAUAUAUUUGGGUAAUACUCUGAGUCAGUGUGUUUCAGAUACUUCCCUUUCUUUGCUCCUAAACCAAGUUUCAAGUGAUGUUAUCUGAGAGUUUAUUGAAAUGGCUCAGGAUAUAAUUAUAUAUCUUAUUUAUUUUUUGGCCACACCUGGGGCAUGCAGAAGUUCUGGGCCAGGAAGCAAACUCAGACCACUGCAGUAACCAGAGCCACAGCAGUGAAAAUGCCAGGUCCUUAACCCACUGAGCCACCAGGGAACUCCCUUGUCUUCUUGACCCUACCUGAGAGAUUUGCUCUUUCCCAUUCUCUAUGCGUAGGGAAUUCCUAUCUACAAGUUCAAUUUCUGACAUUAUUUAGCUGACAAAAGUCUGUGAAGUUUAAUGUGUCUCAGACAUAGCUAGUUAAAGAUUCAUAACUGAAUUCAUGUUUACUAUGUUGUAGAGUGGAACCGAGGUCUGCGUCCCCAGACUAGAAGGGAUAAGACAAUGCAUUGCAAUGAAAUAUAGUGAUUCUAUCCUUCCAAAGACAACUUCAUAUUCAACUUAAACACCUUAUCUUUAGUGGCUAAGGACAAUCCACUUUUUUCUUGUCCCUCCCCUAACUAGGGACUUAUUCAUUCAUUCACUCACUCAACAAAUGGUUGUUGAACAUUUGCUGUGCGAUAGGAACUCUUCCAUAUUCUGGGGGGAUACAGUAUUGAACAAAACUAAGUUUAUGUUCUCAUUAAAUUAUAUUCUACUAGCAGACAACUGACCAAUAACCCAGUGAUGAUAUUAUAUAAGGCUGGUGGAGAUAAGUGCAAUGAGGAAAAACAAAGCAGGCUAUCUAGCAGAAGACUUGUUUAGAAAGCAAACUAAACUUGAAUGAAGAGAAAGUAAAACAUUAACACUUCAGGCAUCAUUCCUUCUGUACAGCUGUCCCAUGUGAAUGCCUCAGGAUUCUCAAAUGAUAUUAGUGGUGCUCAGCAAAAAUAAACAGCUUUGUGCAGAUGUAGCGACAUGUACGCAUCAUAAAGAAGGAACCAUGUCUGAGUUACAGGUUUGACUGUUCCGUGAACACCAGCCACUUACCUCAGAGAUGAGUUGAGCAGAAAUAGGCUGGUAUACUGAACUUGACACAUCCAAUUUAUUUCUUCUUCUUCUUUUGGCUUUAAGUCUGCAUUUUAAAAAUUGUGGUAAGAAACACAUAACAUAAAUUAUCCUCUUAAUUUUUAAGUGUACAGUACAGUAUUGUUAACAAUAUGCAUGUUAUUGUACAGCAGAACUCUGUAAUUUUUUACAUGUUCUACCACUAAAACUCUAUAUUUUUCGAACAGCAACUCUUCCUCCCCACGUUCCCUGGCAACCACCAUUCUACUUUCUGUUUCUGUGAGUUUGAUUAUGUUAGAUACCUCAUUUAAGUGGAAUCAUCUAGUAUUUGUCCUUUUAUGACUGGCUUAUUUCACUUUGCAUUGUGUUGUAGCAUAUCACAGGAUUUCCUCCUUUGUAAAGACUGAACAAUAUUUCAUUGGGUAUAUACACACCAUAUUUUCUUUUUUAAUUUUUUUUAAUUUAAAUGUUUUAAUUUUUAUUUUUUCCUUGUUUACCACGUUUUCUUCCUUCAUUCAUACAUCAGUGGACAUUUAGCUUACCUCUACAUUUUGGAUGGUGGAUCUAAAUUUGGAUUUGUGGAUAGUACUACAGUGGACAUGAGUAAGCAAAUAUCUCUUCGAGAUCUUGUUUCCAAUUCUCUUCUUGGGUACCAAUUUAGCCAUUCUUGAACCACUGUAUGAUGUGUUGCUCCUGAGUGAAAUGCAUGGAUCACUUUCGUAUAAUUUUCAGUGGUUUCUCCAGCCCCUCUGCACCCAGACUCUGGACAUGCAGGGGAGAAUAUAACAAAAGCUAAAACUUCUAUAAUGCUGGGCACUAUUUUAAGAACCUUGGGAGGUAGGUACUGUUAUUGCCACUCAGGGAGAAGGCUGAGGCACACAGUUAACUGGCAAAGAGAGAAAGGGGCUUGGUGUCAGGCAGAGGCUAUGCUUGUAACCUUCCUAUUGAACAAUCUCAUUUUUGCCUUCCACGUGUUCAGAACAUGGCAGUACAGGCUGAGAGACAAGGAAAUGGUUAUGUUCAAGGGUGCAGGAAUUGCUGCAGUGUAGAUGCUCAAACAGUUUGCUUUGGAAAUAUGGAGCCAAAAGCGCUGGACUCUCCAGAGUUUUGGCAGGACUUUUCUAGAGGCAGGAAAGUUUGAGUUGAAUUCUGACAGAUGAGUAGGAGGAACUGAUCAACAAAGGGACACUUAAGGAACUUUCCAAGUAAAAUAAAAUCCAUGUUUUUUCACACCUGUUUUGUGCAUACCUGCCUUCAAUUCCUGCUGUUCAAUUUGUCUGUGCUAGACUGGAUUGCAAGUAUUUUGUGUAUUGUCAUUAAUUUCUAACCCUUGUCAUUGAGGGCAAGUAUAAUUCUCAUUUUACAGAUCAGGAGACUGAUGUUCAGAGAGGUGAAGUAUGGUGCCCAAGAAUAUCCAGCCAAAGUCCAAGUCAGGUCUGUUAGACUUUCAAGCUGGUGCUCCUGACACCAGUAUAAAGGGAGGACGGAUGCACUAAAAGUCAAGCUCUUCACUCUUGGAAACCCCUGAGGGUACAGGUGCCCAGGAAAAGGUGUGGUGUGAGCUGGUCCAACUCAGCCCACUGACUGAUAAACCUGCCUGGAGCACACAGCAGAGAAGGAAAGGUUAUGAACAAGGUCAAGGUAGCAAGCUCUUUCUUUAAAGAGAAGAAAGCAGGGCCUCCUCCUCCCCCAGCCUGGCACUUCGGCACUGUGGUGGAGCAGGGUGUUUGGUUGCCUUGCAGCCACUGUUCUCCCCGUUCUAAGGUUGCAGCGCAAGGCUCUGUUCACCUGACACUAUUGAAAAGUGGAGCGAGUGAAACAGUGGCUUAUCACAAGGCACCAGAGGUCUCUUUCUGGCUGCGUUCUACCAUGCACUUGGCAUUCUGAAAGCACUUGUAGAGGGACUGCCAGAAUGCCAGCUUUUUUUUUUUUUUUAAUUCAAGGUAGGGUCAGGUUUUCUCCCCAUCCUCCCUCCCUCCACCUCCCCCAAGCUAGUAAUCACAUCACGGGGAAACCUGAGCUCACUUGUUUUUUGCUACUUGUACCUAUUUGCCUGGAAAAUACAUUUGCUGAAGAAGAAUCCGGGAGGAGCUGUGUCCUGAUUUAUUGCUCUUUCCCUGUGAAGUUUUUGCUUCUGAGAAUUCUAUUGUGUCAGAACUGGGAGGGGAUUUAGAUCUCGCUCUAAAGGGAUUGAGUCUUGGUAAUGGGAUUAACAAAGAACAUAUUCUGGUCUUUCAGGCACUGCGAUGUGGCAACUCAUUAAGGAGAACAGAGAAAGGAUGAUUUGUUAAAUUGCUUUGCUGUUUUGUGGAACUCUAAAUACUACCACAUGAUGGGCAAACUCAGAGUCUUGAGGUGUGUCGCAGGUCCUCCCCAGAACUCUGUAGCAUGUAUUCACCUCCUCAUUCCCUCACACACACAAUGGCGAGAUGCCCUUGACAAGGGGCUCAGUAAAGGAAUAAGUGUGUUUUGCCUUCGAUCUAAGUAUCCUUAGUGAUAUAGGUGCUCUGUGAAUGUGUGUCACAUUGGUGAGCUAGGUCGUAGGAAGGGGUGAGUGAUGGUGGAAAUGGGGCAACAGGCUGGCAGAGAGUGAGGAAGAAUGUGGUGCAUACUGGGAAGACAAAGCUAUCUCCUAACCUCCUUUGCUUUCUCCAUCACCAAGAAUCCCUUACAAUCCUGGCUUGAGAAAUCCAAAUGUGCUCAGUACGUUCACACAGAGGCAGACUUUUCUCUGUGCAAAAAUGGUUGGGAGCAUUUUUAGUAGAACUUAAAUGUGUUUUUACUUUGACUUCACAGAGCAACCCACACCCAAGGACAUUUUCUCUUUUGUGAGACAUCAUGUAGUUAAGCACUUGUCAGCAAUGGCCCCAGGAUGGGCUUCUUCUUGUAACGGCCCCAAAGGGUUUGAAGAGAAAGGCAUUUUUUGCUUGUUUGUUUUUAGUCUUUUUAAAAUCGUUUCUUAAGUCCAGAAACUGUUUUGGUAGACAUAGAGGAUUUUGAUAAAUACCCGGGAAAAUGAAACAAAGAUUACCUUGAUUUUAAUUAUGAAAACUAUCACUUUUAAGUGACAAAAUACAGUUAUAAGAUAUUGGGAUACAGUUAUAAGAUGUUUGUGCAUGUGUGAGAUAAUUAUAUACAUUCUUGGUGGGGUUGGACUUAACCCCUGAAUUCUAAUUCACUUGUGGUAGAGGCAUCUUUCAACAUUUUACUAAGUUGGGGUUCAGAAAAAUUUGAUACACAGUUGUACCUAAAUACC